AUUGAACGCUGGCGGCAGGCCUAACACAUGCAAGUCGAGCGGAGCGGCGGGCGAGUGAGUACUGUCAGGGAAACUGCCUGUGGGAGGGGGAUAACUACAGGAAACGGUAGCUAAUACCGCAUACAAUCAGAUGUGCCUAGAUGGGAUUAGCUAGUAGGUGGGGUAACGGCCCACCUAGGCGACGAUCCGUAACUGGUCUGAGAGGUCGAUCAGUCACACUGGAACUGAGACACGGUCCAGACUCCUACGGGAGGCAGCAGUGGGGAAUAUUGGACAAUGGGCGAAAGCCUGAUCCAGCCAUGCCGCGUGUGUGAAGAAGGUCUUCGGAUUGUAAAGCACUUUAAGUUGGGAGGCGUUACCAACAGAAUAAGCACCGGCUAACUUCGUGCCAGCAGCCGCGGUAAUAC
rnacentral:rRNA from 1 species